rnacentral:rRNA from 1 species
GAGUUUGAUCUUGGCUCAGAUUGAACGCUGGCGGAAUGCUUUACACAUGCAAGUCGAGCGGCAGCGCGGGGCAACCUGGCGGCGAGCGGCGAACGGGUGAGUAAUGCAUCGGAACAUGUCCAUUGAUGGGGGAUAGCCCGGCGAAAGCCGGAUUAAUACCGCAUACGUCCGAGAGGAGAAAGUGGGGGACCGCAAGGCCUCACGUCGAUGGGUUGGCCGAUGUCCGAUUAGCUAGUUGGUGAGGUAAAGGCUCACCAAGGCGAUGAUCGGUAGCUGGUCUGAGAGGAUGAUCAGCCACACUGGGACUGAGACACGGCCCAGACUCCUACGGGAGGCAGCAGUGGGGAAUUUUGGACAAUGGGGGCAACCCUGAUCCAGCCAUUCCGCGUGAGUGAAGAAGGCCUUC